GACGAACGCUGGCGGCGUGCUUAACACAUGCAAGUCGAACGGAAAGGCCCUGCUUUUGUGGGGUGCUCGAGUGGCGAACGGGUGAGUAACACGUGAGUAACCUGCCCUUGACUUUGGGAUAACUUCAGGGAACUGGGGCUAAUACCGGAGAGGAUCUCCUGCUGCAUGGUGGGGGUUGGAGAAUUUCGGCUGUUGGGGCUGGGCUCGCGGCUUAUCAGCUGGUUUGGGGGGUAGGUGAAUACCAGGGCUUUGACGGGCAGCCGGCCUGAGAGGGUGAACGGCCACAUUGGGACUGCGAUAGGGACCAGAAUCCUACGGGCGGCAGUAGUGGGGAAUAUUGCGGAAUGGGGGGACGCCUGAUGCAGAAGCGCCGCGUGCGGGAUGAUGGCUUUCGGGUUGUAAACCGAUUUCGAAUGUGACGAAGCGUGAGUGACGGUAAUGAGUCAAGAAGCACCGGCUAACUACGUG
rnacentral:rRNA from 1 species